CCCUUAGAUGUCCUGGGCUGCACGCGCGCUACACUGAUGUGUCCAGAAAGCACCUAACCUCUUCCGAAAGGAACGGGUAACCUUUGCAAAGCACAUCGUGAUGGGGAUAGAUUAUUGCAAUUAUUAGUCUUGAACGAGGAAUUCCUAGUAAGCACAAGUCAUCAGCUUGUGUUGAUUACGUCCCUGCCCUUUGUACACACCGCCCGUCGCUCCUACCGAUUGAAUGUUCCGGUGAGCUCUUCGGACUGCGCGGUCUGCAGUUUCUGCGUUCCGUGCGGAAAGUUGCGCAAACCUUAACAUUUAGAGGAAGGAGAAGUCGUAACA
rnacentral:rRNA from 1 species